ACAGGCUUAACACAUGCAAGUCGAGGGGCAUCAGGAAGAAAGCUUGCUUUCUUUGCUGGCGACCGGCGCACGGGUGAGUAACACGUAUCCAACCUGCCCUUUACUCGGGGAUAGCCUUUCGAAAGAAAGAUUAAUACCCGAUAGCAUAAUGAUUCCGCAUGGUUUCAUUAUUAAAGGAUUCCGGUAAAGGAUGGGGAUGCGUUCCAUUAGGUUGUUGGUGAGGUAACGGCCCACCAAGCCUUCGAUGGAUAGGGGUUCUGAGAGGAAGGUCCCCCACAUUGGAACUGAGACACGGUCCAAACUCCUACGGGAGGCAGCAGUGAGGAAUAUUGGUCAAUGGGCGCUAGCCUGAACCAGCCAAGUAGCGUGAAGGAUGAAGGCUCUAUGGGUCGUAAACUUCUUUUAUAUAAGAAUAAAGUGCAGUAUGUAUACUGUUUUGUAUGUAUUAUAUGAAUAAGGAUCGGCUAACUCCGUGCCAGCAGCCGCGGUAAUACGGAGGAUCCGAGCGUUAUCCGGAUUUAUUGGGUUUAAAGGGAGCGUAGGUGGACUGGUAAGUCAGUUGUGAAAGUUUGCGGCUCAACCGUAAAAUUGCAGUUGAUACUGUCAGUCUUGAGUACAGUAGAGGUGGGCGGAAUUCGUGGUGUAGCGGUGAAAUGCUUAGAUAUCACGAAGAACUCCGAUUGCGAAGGCAGCUCACUGGACUGCAACUGACACUGAUGCUCGAAAGUGUGGGUAUCAAACAGGAUUAGAUACCCUGGUAGUCCACACAGUAAACGAUGAAUACUCGCUGUUUGCGAUAUACAGUAAGCGGCCAAGCGAAAGCAUUAAGUAUUCCACCUGGGGAGUACGCCGGCAACGGUGAAACUCAAAGGAAUUGACGGGGGCCCGCACAAGCGGAGGAACAUGUGGUUUAAUUCGAUGAUACGCGAGGAACCUUACCCGGGCUUAAAUUGCAGUGGAAUGAUGUGGAAACAUGUCAGUGAGCAAUCACCGCUGUGAAGGUGCUGCAUGGUUGUCGUCAGCUCGUGCCGUGAGGUGUCGGCUUAAGUGCCAUAACGAGCGCAACCCUUAUCUUUAGUUACUAACAGGUUAUGCUGAGGACUCUAGAGAGACUGCCGUCGUAAGAUGUGAGGAAGGUGGGGAUGACGUCAAAUCAGCACGGCCCUUACGUCCGGGGCUACGCACGUGUUACAAUGGGGGGUACAGAAGGCAGCUAGCGGGUGACCGUAUGCUAAUCCCAAAAUCCUCUCUCAGUUCGGAUCGAAGUCUGCAACCCGACUUCGUGAAGCUGGAUUCGCUAGUAAUCGCGCAUCAGCCACGGCGCGGUGAAUACGUUCCCGGGCCUUGUACACACCGCCCGUCAAGCCAUGGGAGCCGGGGGUACCUGAAGUACGUAACCGCAAGGAUCGUCCUAGGGUAAAACUGGUGACUGGGGCU
rnacentral:rRNA from 1 species